GAUUUAAACUGCACAUAGUAAAAAUCUAUAACCAAGGAAAGAUAAGGAGCGGGAAAAACCUUAAAAGACCACAUAUUAGAAUUUACUUGUAAUUUUAAU
rnacentral:sRNA from 1 species